AAAUAAAUAGGCGGUGUCUGAGAUAGAAAACAGGGGAUCCUGGGUGUUAAAGGAUAACCCACCUACAUUUGAGCCUUGUCUUAUUAGUGCGUGUGUAUGGUUGUUUACUCUAAUAUGGUGAGUGUCCGGGUAAAAAUUUUGGUUAUUGCUAAAGUUAGGGUUUAUUUUAUUGGUUAAGUUUGGUAAAAUAAGUUAGCUUUAGCUAGAUGCAGCUAGUAGAAGGGGUUUAUUCCCCUUUGUAGCACAGCUUCAAAAAUAAUUCAGAUUGACAUGCAGCUUAUGAUAAGGUUAAUCUGGGAUACAGUUGCAGCUUAAGCAAUAGUUUUAAAUUUAAACUAUUAAGUAGUAUAAAUAAUCUAACGAAUAAGGUAAGAAAACUUGACUUUGAAGAAGGACUUGUAAGUAAGGGUUGAAAAUAAAACCGCCCUGAAUACAAUCAGAUGAGUACUAAUCGCCCGUCGCUCGCGGGGAAACCUGUGAAAAGUCGUAACAAGGUAGCAGUAACGGAAGUUGUUGCUAGGCUAUAAUAU
rnacentral:rRNA from 1 species